rnacentral:rRNA from 1 species
AUCGAACGCUGGCGGCAGGCUUAACACAUGCAAGUCGAGCGGGGGAGGUUGCUUCGGUAACUGACCUAGCGGCGGACGGGUGAGUAAUGCUUAGGAAUCUGCCUAUUAGUGGGGGACAACAUCUCGAAAGGGAUGCUAAUACCGCAUACGUCCUACGGGAGAAAGCAGGGGACCUUUGGGCCUUGCGCUAAUAGAUGAGCCGAAGUCGGAUUAGCUAGUUGGUGGGGUAAAGGCCUACCAAGGCGACGAUCUGUAGCGGGUCUGAGAGGAUGAUCCGCCACACUGGGACUGAGACACGGCCCAGACUCCUACGGGAGGCAGCAGUGGGGAAUAUUGGACAAUGGGGGGAACCCUGAUCCAGCCAUGCCGCGUGUGAAGAAGGCCUUUUGGUUGUAAAGCACUUUAAGCGAGGAGGAGGCUACUGGUAUUAAUACUACCGGAUAGUGGACGUUACUCGCAGAAUAAGCACCGGCUAACUCUGUGCCAGCAGCCGCCGUAAUAC